GUUGCCCUCUUGUUGCUUUUCAGUGACUGAUUCCCGGGGGCCCAGUAAGUGAGUUGGCGAGUCUCCACCUACCAUUUUAACAUGUAUUUAAUACAUUGUCAUCGGCAGGUGCCAUAGUUCCCGUAGUUUCCCCAUUCCUAGUCCAUUAGCAUCCCAUCACAAUAGCCCAAGUAGUUUUCAUUCAUAGUUAGCAAUAGUUUAGCACAGAACCGGGGAUUGUCCUUGGGUACAUUUCUAUAGUGUAUACAGGGAUAAUCGUCGGUUUUGUGUCACCAUUUCAUUAAAGUUGUCUCAAAAGGGCUUCAGCGUGUUGGCUUCGGCCCCAUGUUCGCCUCCCAAAAAUCCGGGACUCUAUAGUCCCGAGGUCUGGUAGAGACAUACAAGAUAAUAAUAAAA
rnacentral:lncRNA from 1 species